GUCCUUGUCGAUUAGUGGUUAGAUCAUUACGUUGUGGUAACACAAUUCCGUGAAGACCUGGGCUCGACUCCCAGCAGGGACA